CACGCAGGCUGAAUUAUAAGUCGGUAGUAAAAGGCGGGGGCUCAACUUCCGUAUAUCUAUCGAUACUGUAAAUCUAGAGUAUGUGAGAGGGAAGCGGAAUUUCCCGGUGUAGCGGUGAAAUGCGUAGAUAUCGGGAGGAACACCAGUGGCGAAGGCGGCUUCCUGGCACAAUACUGACGCUCAUGUGCGAAAGCUAGGGCAGCGAACG
rnacentral:rRNA from 1 species